AAUAUGCGUAAAAACACUCGGAAAAGAAUAUUAUUUUAUACGGAAAGUCUUAAAAAUAAAUUAUUGAUAAUUUGCAGUAUAUUGUCUAUGCAAUCGAUACUUGGCCGCGGUAUUUAAGGACGGGGAAUACGAUAAUACGUACAUGUACUUCGCCAAGGAAUUUCAGGGAUGUUAAUUGGAUUUCUGGCGAACUAUAGCGUUAAAAGGUUUUUUUUUUUCCUUUCUAAUCAUCCGACGUCUGAGGCCAAGUCCCGAGUGCAUACAAGCCCGUGACAUUAAAAUGUCCGGUGUAUUGAUGUUUUUAGCAUUUCAGACACGGACCGUAAAUACAGCGGUUCGAUUAAGCGUGUUUUUUUUUUUGCCGUGAUAUUUACGAUUUUCCGACGACGACGAUUCCGACGGUACAGUGACAACACGACGUAUCGGAUUUUGCGUCGUUUCAAUCCGGUAUGGCGCGAGCGCGGAAAUUCGAUUAUCCUUGCGGAAAACGGUCAGACGCCGAGCGUCACCGGACGGACCGAAAAUUGUUUUCAGGGCCGUUCUGCAGCUAUCUGUUGGCGCGCAAAAGCUGUACGCGGACCGCUCUAUGGCCCCGUCAUUACCGGGGUUGAAUGCCGUUUCGGACUGCUCCCCGGCAGCAGUCCAGCUUAGUCAUCAUAACGCUGUCCCUUUACCGAUUUCGCGUCGCGCACGCACACUGGAUAUCGUGCGAUAUAUACAAUAAUGUCCGUCGUUCGAAGUCGGGGCAAUCAGAGAC